rnacentral:lncRNA from 1 species
CCUCUCUGCUGACUGGAUCAAGGAGGAAUACUUGGAAUGAAGCCUCAUGAUAUACCUCCUAGCCUUCUUCUAAUCUGUGUCAAGAUUUUUCCCGGCAAACGGCAACAGCUCCAAGAACCUAUCUGUGUACUCAUCUACACUCAUCUCCUCUGUCUGCCUUAGCUGUUCGAACUCAAUCAUCUUCAACUCCCUUGAGCUAUCAGGGAAAGACCAUCCUGCAAACUCAUUAGCAAACUCCUCCCAUGAUAG